rnacentral:rRNA from 1 species
UACGUAGGGUGCAAGCGUUGUCCGGAAUUAUUGGGCGUAAAGAGCGUGUAGGCGGCCAGAUAAGUCCGCUGUGAAAUCUCGAGGCUCAACUUCGAGCUGUCGGUGGAAACUGUCUGGCUAGAGUCCGGAAGAGGAGAAUGGAAUUCCUGGUGUAGCGGUGAAAUGCGCAGAUAUCAGGAAGAACACCGGUGGCGAAGGCGGGUCUCUGGGCCGAUACUGACGCUGAGGAGCGAAAGCGUGGGGAGCGAACAGG